rnacentral:rRNA from 1 species
UACGAAGGGGGCUAGCGUUGUUCGGAAUCACUGGGCGUAAAGCGCACGUAGGCGGAUCUUUAAGUCAGGGGUGAAAUCCCGAGGCUCAACCUCGGAACUGCCUUUGAUACUGGGGAUCUCGAGUCCGGGAGAGGUGAGUGGAACUGCGAGUGUAGAGGUGAAAUUCGUAGAUAUUAGGAAGAACACCAGUGGCGAAGGCGGCUCACUGGCCCGGUACUGACGCUGAGGCGCGAAAGCGUGGGGAGCAAACAGG